CCUACGGGUGGCAGCAGUGAGGAAUAUUGGUCAAUGGACGCAAGUCUGAACCAGCCAAGCCGCGUGCGGGAAGACGGCCCUAUGUGUUGUAAACCGCUUUUGUACGAGGACAAACCCUGGUACGCGUACCCGUCUGCAUGUACCUUACGAAUAAGCAUCGGCUAACUCCGUGCCAGCAGCCGCGGUAAUACGGAGGAUUCGAGCGUUAUCCGGAUUUAUUGGGUUUAAAGGGUGCGGAGGCGGUCGGUUAAGUUAGGGGGGAAAUCCCGGGGCUCAACCUCGGAAGUGCCUUUGAUACUGUAAGUCUAGAGAGGAGGUGAGGUAGGCGGAAUGAGGGGUGUAGCGGUGAAAUGCUUAGAGAUCGUACAGAACUCCGAGUGCGAAGGCAGCAUGCCGGG
rnacentral:rRNA from 1 species